CAUAGCAGAAAUGAUGACGGAUGAUGAUGGCAGCAGCAGCUGUUCUCCUCUGCCUUUUCCAGGGUCAUCAUGUGGCGAUGGAUUUCUGCCAGCGGCAGCACGCAGUGCACUGGGUUUACUGAGUAAACUCAUAAGUGGCCAACACAUCUUGAAGGACUCCAUUUGCUUUGAUUCAUGAGUCCAGCGAGGGAAAGUUAAUGAUUAUUGGAAAACUGACCUCACCCUCUCCGGCAUUCCCCUUUCAUUUACUGCAGAAAUGACUUUGGUUUUCAUCAGCGUCCUUGACAUUAUUGCCUCCACUUUCUUUCUUCAUCCAGUGUCUCCCUCACGCAGAAUCCAGUGCCCCUGAGACGUCACUCCUGAUGGGUUUGGUUGGAAUUCUGCCAGUGUUUGAUACUGGUGGUUAUGACUACGUGGCUUAUUAAAGGAAGAUACCAUAUGUAAUGACUCCUUGUGCACGACCAAGCAUAAAAGCCUGGAAGUGAAAAUGUGGCCCCCUUCAGUUUUUUGGCUUAGACGCUGCUGGCCUGCCAAAACCUUUGGAAGCCACAGAGGGAUACGAAGGUUCUCAAGGCUGUCCUUGAGAAGGUCGAUCGUAAGAAGAAGCCAGCAGAGGGUGCUAAUCUGAAUCAGCAGAGACCAGAGAGGCACCGUGGCAAAGCUGUGUUAAGAUUGUGAUUGAAAGCGGCUCAUAUACUGAUUUUUUUUCUUAAUCUCAGACUACAUCCGUAUUUAACCACACCUGAAAACUCUUAUUUCAUUUAGUUAAACUGCCACCAUGUGCAUGUUAAACUAUUCAGCAUGUCAGAUAGUGAUGAGCAAUUUGAGUUUUGAGUGCACGCGUCUUCAUGGUAUGAUAUUUCCUGUGGUUUUCCCAUCGCACGCAAUAGGUGAUCCACUACAGUGAGUUACCGAUACUUUCAUCACUGACAGACGACAAACCCAUUUGGUUAAUUUGCUGGAAGGAAGAAGAAAGCAAAUAUUAAUUUCUUGAAUUUUGAAACUGAACUACUGGAUCUUUUUGGUGUGACGAGACCUCUUCUUAUGAAUGUAUAAUAAAUAUAUCAGCUGCUCCAAACAAAGCUCACCCAAGUAAUUGUUAUUAUCAGAGUCUUCUGUGCAGCUUGAAUGGGUUUGCUGUCUAAUUGCUGCACUUUCACUGUAUCUUUUGUGGCCUAAUUAGCAGGCAAAACAGUUAAAAUAAGACAAACCCAGAGACACAAUUUCACAUGGUUGUCAU